GACGGAAGGUGCAAGCGUUGCUCGGAAUCACUGGGCGUAAAGGGUGCGUAGGCGGCUGUGCAAGUCUGGCGUGAAAGCCCCGGGCUCAGCCCGGGAAGUGCGCUCGAAACUGCACGGCUCGAGUGCCGGAGGGGAGAGUGGAAUUCCUGGUGUAGCGGUGAAAUGCGUAGAUAUCAGGAGGAAUACCGGUGGCGAAGGCGGCUUUCUGGGCCUUACCUGACGCUGAGGAGCGAAAGCUGGGGGAGCGAACAGG
rnacentral:rRNA from 1 species